UACAGAGGGGGCAAGCGUUAUUCGGAAUUAUUGGGCGUAAAGGGCGCGUAGGCGGCUUGGCAAGUGGAUGGUGAAAUCCCUCGGCUUAACCGAGGAACUGCCAUCCAGACUGCUUUGCUUGAGGCCGGGAGAGGUGAGUGGAAUUCCCAGUGUAGCGGUGAAAUGCGUAGAUAUUGGGAGGAACACCAGUGGCGAAGGCGGCUCGCUGGACCGGUUCUGACGCUGAUGCGCGAAAGCGUGGGGAGCAAACGGG
rnacentral:rRNA from 1 species